rnacentral:rRNA from 1 species
UACAGAGGGUGCAAGCGUUAAUCGGAAUUACUGGGCGUAAAGCGUGUGUAGGUGGUUUGCUAAGUCAGGUGUGAAAUCCCUGGGCUCAACCUAGGAAUUGCAUUUGAUACUGGCAGGCUAGAGUGUGGUAGAGGAUAGUGGAAUUCCCGGUGUAGCGGUGAAAUGCGUAGAUAUCGGGAGGAACAUCAGUGGCGAAGGCGGCUAUCUGGACUAACACUGACACUGAGACACGAAAGCGUGGGGAGCAAACAGG